CGUUCAAACAUUCGAUGUGAUCGGCAAAUUACUACAAGAUACAGGCCUUUCACCGCUAUUUCAUUCACUGUUUCGACUGAACCCAUGAGCCCAGUUGAGCCAGAGGUCCAGAGUCACAGCCAGGAAGUGAAAUUCAAUUGGCUGUUGCAGUGGUAUCCUUGACCAAGAGGUUUCCGUAUGUUAAGAAGGUGAGCGGUCUGGAUGUGGUGGAGUGGUGGGACAGGAAUGAAAAUGCGUGGAAGGUGUUUGAUGAUAUGCGUCCUCAUUGGUUGGUUCCACUGUCUCAAGGGAGGAUUGAUCAGUGGGCCAAGUUGCAGUAUGUGUACCAUGGUUUGAAUUUCAAUGGCUCAGAUGACUGCAAAUUCAUUCCACACGCGCCACUAGAUGGUCGUCAGAGUAUGGCCCUUUUCUCUUUUCCCCUUUCAAGAUUCUCUAUUCUUUUCAGACCCAAUUGAUUAUAAUAUGCAGAUUCACACAUUUAAGAAGCAUGUGUAGAUGUCUAUCCAAGUACCGUGCAGAAUGACAUUGUGUGGUUUUGGCCUAAAACCGAUCCUUAAUAAAAAGACAUUCUUUUGAAGAACAAGCCUCCCCGCAUCCCAUAAUUGGAUGGCCCAUCAUAUAUCAGGUUAAAGGGUAACAGAUAUAUUCCAUGCGGGUAUGCAACGAUGUGGCUGAACUCAUAUCUAGUAUCUUCAGGUUUCUACCAUCAAAAUGAUUGCAUAACACUGAAAAUAAAGAUAAAAGGAAGGAGAAGUAAAGAAGAGAAACUAUGCUCGUUGAAUCCUUGCGACAGUCAAGUAACGAUUUUGAAGACCCUUCUCUGGUUUGGAGGCAUAUUAGGAUUUAUUCAGAUGGGAACUUGAGAAUUUUCUCAUGGGAUGAUGCAGGCAUGGUGAGUAGGGUGGCAGGCAGUUGAGAACCAGUGCAGUGUGUUUGGUUCUUGUGGUUUGUGAAGCUUAUGUGGGUACAGCUCUACAGGACCUGUUUGUGGUUGUCUGUAUGAGCUUCUUUGAAUUGGGGAACUGGCUCACAUGGGAUGGAUUCAGGGAGUUUCGGGUUCAAGAAAAUGGUGGAUUUGGGAAGCUACAAGAUGAAUUGAAGAAUGAUUGCUUGAUGAGAAGUUAGUCCCUAAGUUGAUGGAUUUUCGACUUCAGAGCUUACUCCAGGAGCAGUCAGCUUCUUCUUCAGAGUCUCCCUCAGAGAGAGAUAUUUACAUGUUUGGAGUAACGCUGCUGCAAUCUGUAACAUGCCCGAGAGAUCAUGGGGACAAUCUGCACCACUUAAUUGACAAGGUGAAUCAAGAACAAAAACUGAAGGGCAGCAAGGAGAGGGAAGGAGUCGAAACAGUGGUGAAGAUAGCUUUGCAGUGUAUGCAAAAUCAACCGUUCUUACGACCUUCCAUUGGGGAGGCAGUUAAGGUAAUAGAAGGGACACUUUCAGUAGAUAGGCCUCCAUCAGCUUUUCCUUUCAGACAGGAGAGCCAGAUGGAUGAAAGAGUCUUAACUGAGAUUGAGGAAGUUUCCUAGAAGAAUGCCAAAUUUGAUUUGGAAGCAUGAAUCCUUAUUGUACCAGCCCCAUGCCCCGUCAUUUAACUGCAAUGCAGGGGAAUGACUGGGGGUUAACUCCAGCAAUGUGUGAAUCAUAUAAAUUGUGCAAGCAACUUUGACAUUUGAAUGAAAAUGUUUUAUGACUUUUACCUUGGAUGC